CAUAAUUGUAUCCACUUUUUUCUAAUUCCUUAGAAACAUGUAUAAGAUGGCAACUAUUUGCUUAUUAUUAUCAGAUCAGACCAACCCAGAAGAGCAGCAGUCUUAAAUUAUUUUGCAGAUGGGACAUUGAGUGAUGUCAAUACUGAACUGCUGAAAGGAAGUUUUAUACCCAAAGGUCAGAGAAUGUCUGGACAGUUGUAUCCACUAGUGUACAGUCCAGAAUGGUAAACUGUAUUUAUAUCAUGAUAUGGCUAGUUCCAGAACUACUAACACCUAGCUCAUUUAAAAUACAAGUCCAUUUAAAAAUCAAAGAAUAUUUAUUUAGUUGUCUGAAAAUAGGUUAUUUGAGAGGGGAGGCAAUAUGGUUGUUACUAUUUUUAGAAUUCCAUUUGAAUGGCUUCAAAUAAGUUGUUUUAAUUGUUCACUACUGUUUUCAAUGUCAUUAUUCAUGUCAUUUACCAAAAAAAAAAAUGUAAAGGUCGAGUGUUUUAGCCUACAUUUGUUAAUGCUCUUUUUGUACAGGCUAUAUUAAUUCAAUGGUUAAUUCAUUAUUUUCCUGUUCAAGGUACAUGACUACCAUAAGAGUAAAAAAAUGCAUGAAAAUUUAGAGAAAAGUGUUUUUUUUGUAACGAUCAUGUUUGUACAUUACUUAAACAAUUUUUUUUUUUCAAAAAUGAUUAUUAGGUAUCUAAUAUAGCAAAAUAUCAUGUUUUUUUUUGUCAAGCACCAUAACUUAUUUGAAUAUUAAUGUAUGUAAUGUCAUAUAAAACUUUGCAUUGCACACUUGUAGAACAAAGACAAACAACUGGAAUGAAGUAAAAAGUAUUAGGCUACCUCUUAAAAUGAAACAAUUUUUCAAAUUUUGAUUUUUUUUUCACCAUUUUUUAUAAAUUAAUAUUUUAAAAUGUUUAAAUAUCAUACAUGAAAGAAGUGUAAGUAGGGAAAAAUUAAAUUUUUAGAGAAAAAAAACUUAACAAAUCAGCUUCUCAAAGCCUUAAAAAUCCAUCUGUUGGCCAUCAGAUGCAUAUAAAGUAAUCUCUGAGUGUGUGGCUUUAAAUUGCAAAUCUUAAUUUUAUUUCUAUUAGGCUUUUUCUGCAUUUUCUGUUACUUAUGAUGAAUCAAUUUUCAGUUAAAAUUUAAUAAUGCACUUUGCCUUCGUUAUGGUAGAAAUAAAAGUAAUGAUUCUAAAGAUCUUUUUGAGUCCCAUUUUUUUAAAUUUCAGCAAAUGAUCCAAAACCAUUUUCCCACUGACAAUAAAAUAAAGUCCAUAGAACUAAAUAACAUGUUAAAAUCCAUCUUUGGUUCAGUCUGUCAACCUUAAAAUAUUAACUUUACCAUCAUCAUCACAUUAAAUGUAGCUCGCAAUUACAUUUAUUUUCUAUUUUGAGAUUAAUUAAAAUAUAAGAGCAUGUUAAUUUACUAAAUACUACAGGUUCUUGCUUAAUUUACUUAAAAUAUUCUCUGAAAAAAGCUCAUCCCUCAGAAAUGUCUUUUCAUUAUUAUAUCUGGUGAUAAGUAAAAAGAUUGGAUCUAGAUCUAUUUAAUCUCCUACUGCCAUAAAACUUCAUUUCAAUGGGGGGAUAAGAUGAAAACUUUGUUCCCAUUGCUAACCUUCCAAAUUGUUUCUGAAGCAGUAAGCUAAGCUGUCUUAAUAAAUCAAUAAACAACACAAUUGAUAUGAAUAUAAUUUAGUCUAUUUACAAGGAGCCAAAAACAGAAAUCAAAGAACAGCAUAACAUGAUAGAAUACAAGAUGAUAAGGCAGCAGUUUCCAAAUGUCAUUGAUACAAUGUAUUUAGAGGCAAUGUUGACACAUACAGAGCAAUAGAAAAUAACAAAAAAAAGAGUAAUGUCGAAGAUAAACUUGCAAUUUAAAAACUUACACCCCAUAUAUCCCAAGACACACACACAUUAUGUACACUUUUCCCACCAGAUAGAUUUAAUGACCCCAGACACACAUAUUUAACACUUGAAAGACACCCAGACACACAUAUUUAACACCUGAAAGACACCCAAACUUCAUAUUUGCCAACAAAUGAAGCACGUUCAAAUUCCAACUAUAAAAUCAAACAUCAUCAAUGGCACUGGGUCAUUGAUGAACUGCUGCCUCUCAAUCAUACAGCUCUUUAAAAUAAAACAAAAUGAGUGAAACAUAUGCUGGAGCCAAGCCAGCAGACUUGUAGAAUACAAAAGAAUUCAUUGAAUGACCACACAUGCAACCAAAGGCAGACAAAACAAACUAGUCUUAACAAAGUGUACCCAUACUUACAGCCUGUGAAUAGCAAUAACAAAUCAAUGUGGUAAGUUAUUUCUUGGUUGCACACCAAUAGUUCAGUGAGGGAAUGUCCAGUAGUGUAACAUUGGGAUGAAGACAGGAAGUGCAUUAAAACUAUAUACAACAGACACUUUGUAUGUACAGUAGAAACAAUAAUCAGCUAGGUCCAAUGCAUUUUUUUUUAUACGGGUCAUACUCAAUAAUAUACAACAUUUUACUUUCUAUGUUAAAUUACAACAUAGUUUUAAAGGCUGCAAUGA
rnacentral:sRNA from 1 species